AGGAAGAGGGUUGGAGGAUUAAAACUGGAUGAUUUACCAGGGCUGGAGGCUUUACAGGUUCCAGGGAUGAGUGAUGGGCAGACAAAAGUCAUCAGAGAGGGGGACAAUGGUGUGGCAUAUGCUUGGAACUUGAGGGAAUAGAAGUGGGAUAAGAUUGGUGAAGUUGUUGAUGGACCGGAUGAUAACCUGAGGCGUCCUGUUCUUGAUGGGAUUGAAUAUGACUAUGU